GAAGAUCAAGAUCGCCAUGAGUGUGUUACAUGGGCCAUGACAGCUGGUAUUUGGAACUACAGAUGAUGAUUGAUGACGAAAGAAGAAUAGGAAGCCAUAAUAAGCCGAAAAAAUAAAAUAUAAUAAAUAAAAGAAAAGAGUACAAAAUGGAUAGCCAAUGAAAUAGAAGAGGAAGAGAUACCCGUUACCCAUGAGCUAUGAUUAUUGAAAACAAAAGCCAAUGAUCUCCACUGAUGUAGCAUUCAGAAGGAAGAUGAUGAGAUUCCUUUUGCCGGCCGCACCACGCUUCGGAGAUAUAACAUAAUUAAUCAGAAGACAAAAUAAUAAUGAUCAAUUUAAAUAUUAAUUGUUAUCCUGCGAUAAUAUAAAAAAGCCAUAAAGAUUGAGCGGUUUUAAGGUUUUGUAACCCCACCACCAUGCGCGAUCCUUCUGCUUUAUUAUUUGUGAUCUGAUAAAGAAAAAGGUUAGCUAGUGGGCAGCAGCAACCUAGAAGAAGAUUAAAGUAAAUAUUGAUGAUAUGCGACUGCCACCGAAACCGGGAAAGCGAUUUGCACCCGUUAUUAAUUUUGAGACACAGAGAAUAGAGCAUCUGCAUUGAAAGCAUCAUGGAUCCCACAGGCAUAC
rnacentral:lncRNA from 1 species